rnacentral:rRNA from 1 species
AUUGAACGCUGGCGGCAGGCCUAACACAUGCAAGUCGAGCGGAUGAAGGGAGCUUGCUCCUGGAUUCAGCGGCGGACGGGUGAGUAAUGCCUAGGAAUCUGCCUGGUAGUGGGGGAUAACGUCCGGAAACGGGCGCUAAUACCGCAUACGUCCUGAGGGAGAAAGUGGGGGAUCUUCGGACCUCACGCUAUCAGAUGAGCCUAGGUCGGAUUAGCUAGUUGGUGGGGUAAAGGCCUACCAAGGCGACGAUCCGUAACUGGUCUGAGAGGAUGAUCAGUCACACUGGAACUGAGACACGGUCCAGACUCCUACGGGAGGCAGCAGUGGGGAAUAUUGGACAAUGGGCGAAAGCCUGAUCCAGCCAUGCCGCGUGUGUGAAGAAGGUCUUCGGAUUGUAGAGCACUUUAAGUUGGGAGGAAGGGCAGUAAGUUAAUACCUUGCUGUUUUGACGUUACCAACAGAAUAGGCACCGGCUAACUUCGUG